ensembl:snRNA U6 U6 spliceosomal RNA
GUGCUUGCAUUGCAGCAUAUAAACUAAAAUUGAAAUGAUGCAGAGAAGAUUAACAUGGUCCUUGUGCAAGGAUGACACAAAUUUAUGAAGUGUUCCAUAUUAUU